UCGCAUAGCAACAUGAUUAUAAUACCUGUUUUGUGUCUGAUCAUACCACCACUCAGGAAUGCUUUUGUAAAUAAGCCAUUCUCUAAGGCAGCUUAUUGCUGAAAAUUAAACUGCAACUGGACUUACAGUCGGGAUUGGUUUAAAAUGAUCUUGCUUGUUGCAUUAAGUUCUCCUCCUUUCUCUGCCCUCCUCGCCAGAUGCAGCUAAGCCUUUCAGCGUGGUGGUCUUCCAUUGCCGGCACAUGUUCCACAAGGAGUGCCUGCCCAUGCCCAGCAUGAACUCUGCUGCACAGUUCUGCAACAUCUGCAGUGCUAAGAACCGUGGACCAGGAAGUGCAAUUUUGGAGAUGAAAAAAUAGCUCAUUUCUCCUUGUCAGUCUCCUCGUCACCACUCUUUUUGAGACUGUUUUCGUAACAACAAAAGCAUUUGUUGACACUCGUGCUGUUAAGAGAUUUGUUUAUGUUUAUAUUAUGCUCAAAGACAGUUUCUUCAUCU
rnacentral:sRNA from 1 species